CGGGAAUUCGAUUUUCCGGUUGAUCCUGCCGGACCCCACUGCUAUCGGGGUGGGACUUAGGCAUGCAAGUUUUGUGUCUUCAAGUUAUGGUGGAGACACGGCGGACCGCUCAGUAACACGUAGUUAACCUGCCCUCGGGAUGAAGAUAACCCCGGGAAACUGGGGGUAAUAUUUUAUAAGUGAGAAGACCUGGAAUGGUUUCUCGCCUAAAUGGUCUGGAACCAUACUUCCAGUACUGCCCGAGGAUGGGACUGCGGCCGAUCAGGUAGUUGGUGAGGUAAUGGCUCACCAAGCCUAUAACCGGUACGGGCCGUGAGAGCGGGAGCCCGGAGAUGGGCACUGAGACAAGGGCCCAGGCCCUACGGGGCGCAGCAGCUACGAAACCUCCGCAAUGCGCGAAAGCGUGACGGGGCUACCCCGAGUGCCAUCCGCUGAGGGUGGCUUUUCUUUGGUGUAAUGAGCCGAAGGAAUAAGAGGAGGGCAAGCCUGGUGUCAGCCGCCGCGGUAAUACCAGCUCCUCAAGUGGUGGGGAUGAUUAUUUGGCCUAAAGCGUCCGUAGCUUGCUCGGUAAGUCCUCCGUUAAAUCCACCGAUCUAAUCGUUGGGCCGCGGGGGAUACUGCAGAGCUUGGGGGCGGAAGAAGUCGACGGUACUCUUGGGGUAGGGGUGAAAUCCAGUAAUCCCAAGAGGACCACCAGUGGCGAAGGCGGUCGACUAGGACGCGCCCGACAGUGAGGGACGAAAGCUGGGGGAGCGAUUCGGAUUAGAUACCCGAGUAGUCCCAGCCGUAAACGA
rnacentral:rRNA from 1 species